rnacentral:lncRNA from 1 species
UAGAUUCUGAAGCUUAGACGAAUGGAGGUUCUCCCCCAUUGCUCCCUGAGAUGAAAUUCACUGUUUAAAAACUCUCUUCAGCUAGACUUGCUAAAGUUCUUGCUUUCUCCAUGGAUCUCAGUGCUAGCUAGCAUGGGUCAAGUGGCGACCUCCUUGUGCCCUGCAGUCUUGGCAGUGACGACCUCUGUUGGAUCACUUCUGUUUCUACUGUCAGCUUUCCUCAAGAAUCUUUGAAAACCACCUACCCACAUAAACGUGACAAAUGCCAGGCUGUCCAACACGGUACCUGAAAUGCAUGCUCAUCAAUGAGUCCCUCAGGACUGGGUCCGUGUGUCCCUGAGUCCAUUCAGAGAUUUGCCUGAUCACCAGUCCUGUGACUUCCUGCUGCUUGGUGACAGAUUCCCUGGGCCACCUGCCGCCAGCCUGCCCACCUGCCUGCCUGCAUCUGCACCUAUCGUCUGCUGCCAGACAGCCAUCCUCCCUACGGAGGGAAAACUAAGAUGCAUCAGCAUAUGCACAUCUGUAGACAACCCAACACUGAAGUUUGUCCGACUCUCAGUACCUGACAAAGCCAGCCUUGGGACCACUCCGCAGUGGGACUUCCACUGAGCUUGAAGCAGCUAGCGCUGACCACUGUCUUAAGCAGAAGUCACUGAUGAAGAGGUGGCACUCAAUUCUGGACACUAUCUUAACCAACUACAUGGUCUAUCACCUGGAAUCCUCAUGACACAGGAGAUGGGUAAAUUCUCGUCAUUUUAUAGAUGAUGAGAGAUGCACUGCAUGGCUAGCAGCAGCUGACACUUGAGACACCUUCCAUGAGUUCCUAUACUGAGCCACUACCUUUGACUAAUUCUGUUGCCAAAACCAUGGUAUACACCACAUGGAAAGAUGCAAUUAAUUUGAAACAACAUAAUAUCUAUCUCUGGCAUCAUCUGACCUGCAUCAGUGACCUUCAACAGAACUGAAAGCCUUCCCACAAUAUCCUUGGGUUGGUUUUGUUUGUUUGUUUGUUUGUUUGUUUAUUAUUAGAAAGCAAUCCUUGACUUGUAGGGGAAAAAAAUCAUAGUAUUUAUGCAUCUGUUCUUUCGGCAUGUGUUCUCUUAUUCACUAGACAUUGCUAGUCACUGUCACAGACUAAGGGCAUUUGUGGGCUUACACAUUGUGGACUCAUGUGACCAUACUGUGCUAGGGAAAUAUAUUUGGCUGGAAGGAUGAAAUUGUUAUUCAACUCGUUCUGAGCUGAAAAAAUAAUAAAGGUGUUUCGUCUGACC